GGGCCCGCACAAGCAGUGGAGCAUGUGGUUUAAUUCGAUGCAACGCGAAGAACCUUACCAGGGUUUGACAUAUCACUUAUUUUAUAAUAAGGUUUUAAUGAAAGUUAAUUUAGAUUACAGGUGGUGCAUGGCUGUCGUCAGCUCGUGUCGCGAGAUGUUGGGUUAAGUCCCGCAACGAGCGUAACCUUUGUUUCUUGUUGUGAUUCAGAUCAAGAAAAACUGCCAGUGAUGAGCUGGAGGACGGUAAAGAUGACGUCAAGUCAGCAUGCCCCUUAUACUCUGGGCCACACACGUGCUACAAUAGUUAGGAUAAAACGUAACUACUUUGUGAAAAGAUGUUAACGUUAAACCUAAUUU
rnacentral:rRNA from 1 species